rnacentral:rRNA from 1 species
UCCUAAAAUGAGCUCAAUGAGAAUAGAAAUUUCAUAUGGAACAUAAGAGUAAAAGCUUGUUUGAUUCUGAUUUACAGUACGAAUACGAACCGUGAAAGCGUGGCCUAAC